UACGUAGGUGGCGAGCGUUGUCCGGAAUUACUGGGUGUAAAGGGCGUGUAGGCGGGGAUAUAAGUCAGAUGUGAAAAUCCGUGGCUCAACCACGGACGUGCAUCUGAAACUAUGUUUCUUGAGUGCUGGAGAGGAAAGCGGAAUUCCUAGUGUAGCGGUGAAAUGCGUAGAUAUUAGGAGGAACACCAGUGGCGAAGGCGGCUUUCUGGACAGUAACUGACGCUGAGGCGCGAAAGCGUGGGGAGCAAAC
rnacentral:rRNA from 1 species